GUGCUUGCUCCAGCAGCACAUAUUCUAAAACUAGCUCAAUACAGAGAAGACUGGCAUGGCCCCUAAGCAAGGCAAGGAUGACAUGCAAAUCUGUAAAGCAUUCCAGUUUUUA
ensembl:snRNA U6 U6 spliceosomal RNA